rnacentral:rRNA from 1 species
GUGAGGAAUUUUCCGCAAUGGGCGAAAGCCCGACGGAGCAAUGCCGCGUGAAGGAUGAAGGCCUAUGGGUUGUAAACUUCUUUUCUCAGAAAAGAAUUAUGACGGUAUCUGAGGAAUAAGCAUCGGCUAACUCUGUGCCAGCAGCCGCGGUAAGACAGAGGAUGCAAGCGUUAUCCGGAAUGAUUGGGCGUAAAGCGUCUGUAGGUUGUUUAAAAAGUAUUCUGUCAAAGAUUAGGGCUUAACCCUAGAUAGGCAGAAUAAACUUUUAAGCUAGAGUUUGGUAGAGGCAGAGGGAAUUCCCGGUGGAGCGGUGAAAUGCGUAGAUAUCGGGAGGAACACCAAAGGCGAAGGCACUCUGCUGGGCCAAUACUAACACUGAGAGACGAAAGCGAGGGGAGCAAAUGGGAUUAGAAACCCUAGUAGUCC